AGCAUUUGCGUGAUCAGCGUGAGAACGAAGCUGAGAAGCAUUUGAGCAUAUUGAAAAAUCGGGAGAAUAGAAAAUGGCAUGGAGAGGGCAACUUUCUCGGAAUCUUAAGGAGUUUCGUAUUCUGCUGUGCCAAUCUUCACCUUCAAGAUCAUCGACUAGAGCAUUCGUGAAGAAAAAUUACAAGGAUCUCAAGACUCUGAGCGCUAAGCUUCCGAUCCUGAUCCGUGAGUCUAGUGGAAUCGAGCCUCAAUUAUGGGCUAGAUAUGAUAUGGGCGUUGAGAUGUGCAUUUGAUUGGAAGGUUAAACUGAGGCACAGAUCUUUAAGGCCCUUGAAGACCUUGCAAAAGUUGGGGCCAUCGCUUAAAGCUUGAUGCCAAUGUUGUUUAACUGUAUAGAAUGAAAUAAAUUGAUACUUUGGGAGGAUCUUCAUAUUAAAGUUUGUCCUGUUUUUUGCUAUGUAUUCUUUGAGAGUUGGAUAUUCACUAUUAUCAUUAGAGCUGUGCAUGGUUCUUAGGGAAUCAAAUUGAACCAAAGAACCAUACCGAACCGACAGAAACCGUACCAAACGGAAAUUUUUUUUUUUAUACUUUGGUUCGGUUCUGGUUCUUCACCAAUAAUUAAACUGAAUUAAUAUUGAAAUCAAAUUGGAAUCAUAUCAAAUCGAAACUGAAUUAAGAACCAA
rnacentral:misc_RNA from 1 species